GGCUGUGUCCCAAUUCCUAGGACGCAUCCUUCGAAGGCUGCAUUCGAAGGAUGCGUCGACGCCGAUUGCGUCACAGCGUCGCGCCAAGUGCUGUCCCAAUUCCAAGGGUCCUUCAAAUGCGGCCUACGAAUGCAGCCUUCUUUUCCCGGAUUUGAAGGAUGCAUCGGCUGUAUCCUUCACGGCCCAACGUAUCCCAAGAUCCUUCACGGCCCAACGUAUCCCUCCCAAGAUUCAUUGCGCAUUCAAUCAAUGGAGAUGGCGGAGAAUGGCGAUUUAAGUUCUGCAUUUAAAUGGGGCCAGAAGCAUACGGCUCGAUUUAUUCUAUUGAGGGGGGAGAACGAUGAGCUGUUCACCGGGGUGAAAUACUCGGCAAGUGUGGCUUGGGGGACAAUUCUGGAGAAAAUAGGCCUGCAGGGGAAGGUGACUCCCCUGUAUGUACAUGUCAUUUUAAAUAUACAUUAUUUGUUUUAACCAUGCAAGUUAAUAAACACUUUUGCUGAAAUUUGUUUUGAUACUGCUGUUGUUGUUAACUGCCAUGAUUGAUUUCCUCUGCCUUUAGGAUUGCAAGUAUCCAGGGUCAGGAGAGGGGGUAGGUGGGAAACCCGGUGCUGCCACUUGGCCCUGGUUUGUCCCCAUGGAUGAGGUAUUGGGACAGAGGCAUUCCACCAACCCCCCUGUCCUAAUUGCCUCCAUCCCUGAGAACACACCAGGGCCAAGUACAGCAAGUACAGCAGUGGUGGAUCAGGAGGUUGAGGACAAGAAUCAGGAGGAGGAAAGACAGCGAGGGCCAAGGUCCAGAAAGAGGGACAGAGAGGAAGACAUGUUCCAGAGUCGCUCACUAUCUUCCGAAAAGGACUCAAGACUCACCUGUUCAGAGUCAACCUCGACUGCAUAGCCACCCUCCCCCUUCUGGCAACCAUUGUACACUGUGUUGUAUUGUAUUGUAUUAUAGUACUUAACUCUGUAGCAACUGCAGUAACUGCCAUCAUGGCUGUAACACGGGGAAUUGAUUAGCCUAGCGAUUGUGGUACUUGCACUUGGUUCUAUGAACAUCCUUUCUGUACCGACAGCGAUAUAUUGAUGCACUUCUUAUGACAAAUGUACUUAUUGUAAGUCGCUUUGGAUAAAAGCGUCUGCUAAAUGCCCUAAAUGUAAAUGUAAAAUGUAAAUGUUCCAGUUAAUAAAAGAGGACAUGAGGCUACAAAGGGAGGCAGAGGAGAGAAGAGCCCAGGAGAGCAGGGAAAGAAUG
ensembl:lncRNA